GGUACACCGGGGAUAACAGGCUGAUCUUGACCAAGAGUCCAUAUCGACGGCAUGGUUUGGCACCUCGAUGUCGGCUCGUCGCAUCCUGGGGCUGGAGUUGGUCCCAAGGGUUGGGCUGUUCGCCCAUUAAAGCGGUACGCGAGCUGGGUUCAGAACGUCGUGAGACAGUUCGGUCCCUAUCCUCUGUGCGCGCAGGAAAUUUGAGGAGGGCCGUCCCUAGUACGAGAGGACC
rnacentral:rRNA from 1 species